GCCUGCUUGGCGCAGUGGUAACGCGUAGCACUUGUAUGUAAACGAAAUGCUAAGAUCAUUGGUUCGAUUCCAGUAGUAGGCA
rnacentral:tRNA from 1 species